UAGACCCCAUAUGGCCCCAUAAGGGUCCCAUAAACCCCAUAAAGAUCCCAUAGACCCCAUAAAGGUCCCAGAAAUCCCAUAAAGGUCCCAUAAACCCCAUAAAUCCCGUAAAGGUCCCAUAAGUCUUAUAGGACCCCAGAAACCCCAUAAAGGUCCCAUAAAUCCCAUAAAGGUCCCAUAGACCCCAUAAAUCCCAUAAAAGUCCCAGAAAUCCCAUAAAGGUCCCAUAGAACCCAUAAAAGUCCCAUAGACCCCAUAAAGGUCCCAUUGACCCCAUAAAGGUCCCAUAGACCCCAUAAAGGUCCCAUAGACCCCAUAAAUCCCAUAAAGGUCCCAGAAAUCCCAUAAAGGUCCCAUAGACCCCAUAAAGGUCCCAUAGACCCCAUAAAUCCCAUAAAGGUCCCAUAAAUCCCAUAAAGGUCCCAUUGACCCCAUAAAGGUCCCAUAGACCCCAUAAAGGUCCCAUAGACCCCAUAAAGGUCCCAUUGACCCCAUAAAGGUCCCAUAGACCCCAUAAAGGUCCCAUAGACCCCAUAAAUCCCAUAAAGGUCCCAGAAACCCCAUAAAGGUCCCAUAGACCCCAUAAAUCCCAUAAAGGUCCCAGAAACCCCAUAAAGGUCCCAUAGACCCCAUAAAUCCCAUAAAGACCCCAUAAAGCCCCUACACCCACACCGUGAGGGUGGAUGGCAAACAGAGGCACUACAACAUCCAGCAGCUGGGUGAGAGGGGAUUUCCGGG